rnacentral:lncRNA from 10 species
AGAGCAUAUGCGCAUAUGUAUGUCUGAGCCCGUGCACGGAGGAGGAGUAUGAACAGACACCGCGGGACAGAUGGCUGGAGUUUAGUCCCUUCCUUCGGGGCUCUUCACCACUCCUUGGGCUUCCCUUCUCCUGUCCAGCCCUGUCCUGGGUGCACAGAGAGGGAAGUCACUCCAUUCCUGCCCUUGAGGAGCUCCCAGACCCAGGGCAGGAGCAGGAUGCAGACAAGUAGACAGCACCCUGGGGUCCCUGCAAGGAAUGUACUAUAGAGCCAAUUUUAC